ACAGAGGGUGCGAGCGUUAAUCGGAGUUACUGGGCGUAAAGGGCGCGUAGGCGGUUAUUUAAGUGAGAUGUGAAAUCCCUGGGCUUAACCUAGGAACUGCAUCUCAUACUGGAUAGCUAGAGUAUUGUAGAGGGUAGUGGAAUUUCCGGUGUAGCGGUGAAAUGCGUAGAGAUCGGAAGGAACACCAGUGGCGAAGGCGGCUACCUGGACAAAUACUGACGCUGAGGCGCGAAAGCGUGGGGAGCAAACAGG
rnacentral:rRNA from 1 species